rnacentral:lncRNA from 1 species
UAGAAGAGAGACAAGAGAACUAGAGGUGCAUGUUGAUUUGGAAUUUCCAACUCAGAAUAUUCAGUGAAAUAUUUGUGUGACUUUUUUUCUCUAAAGACAGAAGAAAAGAAAAUGAGAAAAAAAACAGUCUUCAGGGAUAUCAACAGAUUUGCAGAGAGAGAAAAAGAGCUAACAGGUCAAGCCCAAAAUCACAAAAGAUAGCAUCUUCCCGCAUCCAGAUGGACUGCCCUAUGUGCCUGGUCCUCACCUGGAUGACAUUUUGUGACCAGAAGAAAAAGGCCCAGAGAAACAAACAUCAGUUUCUCUAACCUGUUUUUAGCCAGGAUGAUAGAAUCAGAAGGUUCUCAAGGUUUAUACGUGAUGGGAUGCUCUCAAAAGGAGUUUUGUUGUGAAAACAUCCCAAAAGAAAAUGGAUGAGUGAUUCUCCAACACAUUGCUUUUCAGUUCUAUGACAUCCUCACCUCUGUUCUAUGGGUAGAUUCUUUGAUGUCUGAAAAGUUUCUGUACAUAAAGAGGAACAUUCAUUACCAUUGUUUAAUGCCCCAUUUGUUAACUGUAUAACUUCAUUAAAACAUUAUCAUUUUUGAAGG